GACGGCAGAACCAGGUCUUGACCAUAAAAUCAGAUUUAUUUGGAGAAAACAAAACACCGACAACCCAAAGGAUGGGAUUUUACGUCAAGACAUCUCCCAGGUAAUAAGUCUACAGAUUAAAUCAUUUUCAUGGAAGAUAUUUUUGUACAAAUUUUACAUGUAUUCAGGAGCCGGACAUUAAUCAAUCCCUGUUUCUAUUUUAAAAGGGAGGACAAAGUAGGGGAGGGGGAAAACAGUUUUGGAUAUAACUAUUUGGAAGGAGAGUAGACAUGAAGAGGGCAAACCCUAGCUUUUCAUUAUCUACAACCAAUGUUUUUUUUCUUUUAAAAAAAAAAUAAAACAAAAACUUUUCAAUCUUCAACACUCUUUAAAAGCCCACUUCUUAGCUACUGGCCAAUCCACAGCAAUUAUUUAAUUCACUUGGUACACACCUUUGUCCUCUGGGUAAAUUAUAUUCAUUAUGCCCACUGCUGCAGCACGCAUAAACCAACACCCCUGCAUGGCUGAACAGGGCCUAAUCUAGGACUGAUGGGAGAAGGGCUUGCAAACCAAGAUCAAGGUGUCGUUUCUCUGCUAAUACUGUCUACAAAGCUGAUCCCUACAAAAAUGCACAUAAAAGCAGGCAAGUUUAUCUACUGUGUUGCAAGGGAAACCAGGACUUUGUUAAAUAGUUCUCUCCAUUACCAUUUGUUCUCUCAAGGGAAGCUUAAAAAAAAAAUAAAGAAAAACAGCACAUUGGUCUGCCCCCCUCAUGAAUCCAACAAGCAUUGGUGUGGCAUUUCAGUGGAGAAGGAAACUUGGGGGGAAAAAGCCCAUCAAGGUUGUAAGAAGACUCCCAAUUUAACUGUCCCUUUCCCUAUUUAUCCACCAUCCAAGACCAUCCAUUAUUCUAGAGCACUCUGAUCUAUAAAAGGGGUCAAAGCAUCAGGAGCAGGCAAGGAGUGAGAACCAAAAGACAUCAAGAAACCGAUUUGCUUGAGAAAAGCAGCGAUUCUUCCUUUCAUAGCUCUCCAUGGCUGAGAGAGAAAAUGCCCGAGACAUCAUGUAUGUGACUUAGAGACUGCUUUUCGGGAGGUUAAAAGUAGCAUGAAGAGCUUAAGAUGACGAUAAGAGUCUAAAUUUUUAGUUUCAAGGUUUCAGUAGAAUGUGGAUAUAUUCAAACUUUCAAAAAGGACAGUGUUUAGAAAGGGUAAAACUAGGACACAGAAAACAUUGGGAAUUACCACGACCUCCAAGUGCUUCCGGCUCCAGGAAAUAACCAUUCAUGUGUUUGCUGGAGGUCACAUAAUUUUCCCCUAUUACCUGGUGCAGAAUGACUCAUCACUUCCCAAAAGCUUCUUUUCAGUCCACAAUUUUCCCAUUUAUUUUGGUGCAAUGCAGUCCCAUUCUUUAUGGCCUACCGUCUCACUCCCAACUACCCUCCUGGGAGUAAAAAAAAAAAAGGAAUUCCCCCUAGGCUGGCCCCCAAAACUCAGAAUUAAAUAAGAGGAGGGGCUGGCAGCCUCCUGGAGACUAAAACAACUUGAGGCUAAAUCUACCUUUCCAAGGGUGGAAAAUUUAUUCAGAUAAUGUUUGAGAAUUCAUAUAUGCCACCAUAGGAUAAAAACUAAAAGGUAGAAAUCUCACACUUUUCCUUCUACCUCCCUCCCAUACUGCCCAACCAGGUUCCAGGCGUUAUAUCACUGUCAUUACCACUUCUGCUAAAUGGAGACC
rnacentral:lncRNA from 1 species